rnacentral:rRNA from 1 species
GACGAACGCUGGCGGCGUGCCUAAUACAUGCAAGUCGAGCGGAUUUUCGGAAGCUUGCUUCCGAAAAUUAGCGGCGGACGGGUGAGUAACACGUGGGCAACCUGCCUGUAAGACUGGGAUAACUUCGGGAAACCGGAGCUAAUACCGGAUACAUUCUUCCCUCGCAUGAGGGAAGAGGGAAAGACGGUUUUGCUGUCACUUACAGAUGGGCCCGCGGCGCAUUAGCUAGUUGGUGAGGUAAUGGCCCACCAAGGCGACGAUGCGUAGCCGACCUGAGAGGGUGAUCGGCCACACUGGGACUGAGACACGGCCCAGACUCCUACGGGAGGCAGCAGUAGGGAAUCUUCCGCAAUGGACGAAAGUCUGACGGAGCAACGCCGCGUGAGCGAAGAAGGCCUUCGGGUCGUAAAGCUCUGUUGUCAGGGAAGAACAAGUACCAUAGUAACUGAUGGUACCUUGACGGUACCUGACCAGAAAGCCACGGCUAACUACGUGCCAGCCGCCGCUGUAA